rnacentral:rRNA from 1 species
ACGGAAGGCAGCAGUGGGGAAUAUUGGGCAAUGGGCGCAAGCCUGACCCAGCAACGCCGCGUGAGGGAAGAAGGUUUUCGGAUUGUAAACCUCUUUCAGCAGGGAAGAAGGAAGUGACGGUACCUGCAGAAGAAGUCACGGCUAACUACGUGCCAGCAGCCGCGGUAAUACGUAGGUGGCGAGCGUUAUCCGGAAUUACUGGGUGUAAAGGGUGUGUAGGCGGGGAAGCAAGUCAGGUGUGAAAAUUUUGGGCUCAACCCAGGACGUGCACUUGAAACUGUUUUUCUUGAGAGUGGGAGAGGUAAACGGAAUUCCUGGUGUAGUAGUGAAAUGCGUAGAUAUCAGGAGGAACACCGGUGGCGAAGGCGGUUUACUGGACCACAACUGACGCUGAGACACGAAAGCGUGGGGAGCAAACAGGAUUAGAUACCCUGGUA